CAGUAGCCGCGGGAAUACAGAGGAUGCAAGCGUUAUCCGGAAUGAUUGGGCGUAAAGCGAGCGCAGGCGGUUAGAUAAGUCUGAAGUUAAAGGCUGUGGCUUAACCAUAGUACGCUUUGGAAACUGUUUAACUUGAGUGCAAGAGGGGAGAGUGGAAUUCCAUGUGUAGCGGUGAAAUGCGUAGAUAUAUGGAGGAACACCGGUGGCGAAAGCGGCUCUCUGGCUUGUAACUGACGCUGAGGCUCGAAAGCGUGGGGCGCAAACAGGAUUAGAUACCCGUGUAGUCCCUGUCUCUUAUACA
rnacentral:rRNA from 1 species